rnacentral:sRNA from 1 species
CUUUUCGAGGUGGGAGUCUACUGAGGUGAGGUAUGGUGCUGGGUGCAGAUGCAAUGUGGCUCUGGAUAGCACCUUAUGGACAGUUGUGUCCCAAAGGAAGGAUGAGAAUAGCUACUGAAGUAAGUUGAAAAUCUUUAAAUCUCAAAAAGAUUUAAAGCCAUUGGAUGUGCCACAAUGAUGACAGUUUAUUUGCUACUCUUGAGUGCUAGAAUGAUGAGGAUCUUAACCACCAUUAUCUUAACUGAGGCACCCAAAAUGGUGAUUUGGGGAACAGAGAGAGUACACCUAAGUUCACACGAAGUUGUUUCUUCCCAGGUCCUAAAGAGCAAGCCUAACUCAAGCCAUUGGCACACCGGCAUUAGACAGAAAACUGGAAGUUGAAAUGGUGGAGUCCAACUUGUCUGGACCAGCUUAAUGGUUCUGCUCCUGGUAACGUUUUUAUCCACGGAUGGCUUGCUUGGGUAAGGACGUGAAGACAGUUCCUGUCAUACCUUUUUUAAAGGUAUGGAGAGUCGGCUUGACUACACUGUGUGGAGCAAGUUUUAAAGAAGCAAAGGUAUAGCAGUCCCAAGUUUUUUUUUUUUUUUUUUUUUUUGAGACAAGAGCCUAGCUCUUACGCAGAAUGGAGUGCACCGGCACUAUCAGCUCACUGCAACCUAUGCCUCCCGGGUUCAAGGAAUUCUCCUGCCUCAGCCUCCUAAGUAGCUGGGAUUACAGGCAUGUGACACCAUGCCUGGCUGAUUUUUGUACAGCUAUGUUGUCCAGGCUGGUCUCAAACUCUUGACCUCAAGUGAUCUGGUGACACUGACCUCCCAAAGUGCUGGGAUUACAGGUGUGAGCCACUGCGCCCCGCCUCAAGUCUGGUUCUUAAGUGUUGUAAAGCCGAUACAAUGAUGAUAACAUAGUUCAGCAGACUAACACUGAUGAGCAAUAUUAAGUCUUUCGCUCCUAUCUGAUGUAUCUGGCGGUAACAUUCUAGUUUAUGCCCUGAAAAGGGGAAUAUAGCCAUUCUAUAACGUUUGGAGAUUUUGGAUUACUCCUAAUUGUAUGCAAGUUGUCUUACUGUGUAUUGUCCCUUAAUUUCAGGACUCAGAAUUCAUGCUUGAAGAAAUGCAGGUUAGUUUAAACUUUUAAGGAAAUUUUUAAGGUGGCAAAAGGUUUUGGUGACAUAUACACCUUAAUCUGUAGAUGGGAGUGAUUAGCUGUUUAAAAGUUAAAAUGUGACUGAGAAGGAAAUUGAGUAGGGCAAAUUUUAAAUGGGUAUUAUUUUUCAUCUUCAAACAGGCAGACCUGUUAUCCUAAACUAGGUGAGUCAGCUUUUGGUACAUGUGAUGAUUUUCAACGUAACCAAUGAUGUAAUGAUUCUGCCAAAUGAAAUAUAAUGAUAUCACUAUAAAACCGUUCCAUUUUGAUUCUGAGGUUACUCUACUAACAAGCAUCACACAUUUGCUUUUUGCCAUGAUUAAUAUGUUGGCUUUGCUUUCAGGGUUUUUAAUGACCACGACAAGCAAGCAUGCAGCUUACUGCUUGAAAGGGUCUUGCCUCACCCAAGCUGGAGUGCAGUGGCCUCUGAAGCUUACUACAGCCUCAAACUUCUGGGCUCAAGUGAUCCUCAGCCUCCCAAUGGUCUUUGUAGACUGCCUGAUGGAGUCUCAUGGCACAAGAAGAUUAAAACAAUGCUCCAAUUUUAAUAAAUUUUUGCAAUCCA